rnacentral:rRNA from 1 species
UGAGGAAUAUUGGUCAAUGGGCGGAAGCCUGAACCAGCCAUGCCGCGUGCGGGAAGAAGGCGCUACGCGUCGUAGACCGCUUUUGUCCGGGGGUAACCGCGGGGACGUGUCCCCGCCUGCAAGUACCGGACGAAUAAGGGUCGGCUAACUCCGUGCCAGCAGCCGCGGUAAUACGGAGGACCCGAGCGUUAUCCGGAUUCAUUGGGUUUAAAGGGUGCGUAGGCGGCCCGGUAAGUCAGCGGUGAAAGGCUCCUGCUCCACAGGAGAGGUGCCGUUGAGACUGCUGGGCUAGAAGAUUAGCGAGGCGGGAGGAAGGCGAGGGGUAGCGGUGAAAUGCAUAGAUAUCGCGCAGAACGACGAGUGGGG